CGAAACCUGCUGUGUGCGUGAGGGGCCUUUUUAAACCCACAUCUCUUAUAAGGGAUGCCAUAUUCCACCGCGAUUUGCAGGCCUCCCGGCGCGGCUUUGACCGACGCCGGAUGUUGGAAGCAGCGGACCGGCGGAGAGGCGACCCACCUGCCUUAUGUGCAGGUUAUAAUCAGGCUCCCACGGCAAUAGCGGGCUUGGG
rnacentral:other from 1 species